GUGUAUCUCGCUUUGGCUGUCCAUAUAAUAGAACUGAAAUGAGAAAAGAUUAGCAUGGCCCUUCAUUAGGAUGACACACAAAUUUGUGAACUGUUCCAUAUUUUU